UUCGUAGUCUGGUAACACUCAAUCAUUGCGAAAAAAAUAAGAAUCGAGGCAACGGCACGGCGACGGCAAACUGCAGUUCGAAGAAUACACGGACAAAUUUUGGUGUGUGGUGUGUGCUCGGCAGCAAGAGACUUUCAGGGCGUGCGACAACGAUCGCAAGUGAUAAUUACCCGUUCGCAGGCGAAGUGACACAGGAAAACAAGCGUCAAAAUGAGCGCACCUGGCAUGGACAAGAGAAAACUCUCCACAUCUGGCGACUCGCUCUACGAAAUCCUAGGACUUCCGAAGACAGCCACCGGAGAUGAUAUCAAAAAGACUUACCGGAAACUCGCACUCAAAUACCAUCCCGACAAGAACCCCGACAAUGUCGAUGCGGCCGAUAAGUUCAAGGAGGUGAAUCGCGCCCACUCUAUUCUGAGCGAUCAGACCAAGAGGAACAUAUACGACAACUACGGCUCCCUGGGCUUGUACAUAGCCGAGCAGUUCGGCGAGGAGAAUGUCAACGCGUACUUCGUGGUCACGUCACCAGCGGUGAAGGCGCUGUUCAUCUGCUGCGCUGUGGUCACCGGAUGCUGCUGUUGUUGCUGCUGCUGCUGCUGUUGCAACUUCUGCUGCGGCAAGUUUAAGCCGCCGGUCAAUGAGUCGCACGACCAGUAUGCACAUCUGAAUCGCCCCGAUGGCAAUCGAGAGGUCAACGAUAUGCCACCACAUCUGGGACAGCCGCCUCGCCUUGAGGACGUUGAUCUCGACGACGUGAACUUGGGAGCGGGCGGAGCCCCAGUGACCUCGCAGCCCCGCGAGCAGGCCGGAGGACAGCCCGUUUUCGCCAUGCCGCCGCCCAGCGGAGCCGUGGGGGUCAACCCCUUCACUGGCGCCCCCGUUGCAGCCAACGAGAACACGUCGCUGAACACAACGGAGCAGACCACUUACACGCCAGGUCUGUGGCAGCCGUUCUCAAGCCACCCCUUUUAGAGGACCGUCUCCCUGAUCCUUUCAAGCUUUCGCAAGUUUUGUUUUCCAUCUCAGGUCCAUUGGAAUAUCCUGGCUAUCAUCUGUAUGUUUUAUCAAAAGAUCAAGACGAGUAUCAUUAGUUUAGUUCAAGUUUGUUUGGUUUUCCUUGGUUUUAUUAUUUAUUAUGCAACGCAUAUGGUUAAUCAAAAAUAUUAGUCAAGUUCUGCGAGCGAGUCAAGCCCCCGGUGCAUGCGAACGCCACACAUUCAGAAACAGACACAGAAAAUACAAUCCCCUGAAAACAGAUUUAUUUCAUAAUUAUUAAAGUUGUUUUUAAGAUGCGCGAUAUGUUGAAGCGAGUAAACAUAAAACCUAUGUAUUUAUUUUAAGCCGUAGCACUAGCUUUAAUUUAAAACCACUCUUGGCGCGAUCUUGGCCAGUCGGGUUGAUCUUGGUCCACUCCGGGUAAUCGUUUCACCAAUUCCAUUGUUCAAGCCUGUCACCCAGCUUCAGAGCUGUCCUCAACUCGAACCGAUGGCCAAGCUGCGCACCACCAUCUCCAGCUGUCCAGCCAUGCUAUAUGCUAAAACACCAGCGGUGUUGACUAAUUUGUGAAACGAGAGUUAGUCCAGACAUUUGCUUGGGGAUCGGAUCCCUUCCGGCACAGCUCCGUGGUUUUGGAUUCACCGCAGUGGACGAUGAAUCGACUUCUCGCGAAGAGAGGCACUGUAAUUAUAUAUAUGUAUAUGAUAUGUGUAUCUAGUUUGCAUUUGUGUCGUCGCAUAGUCUAGCUAAAUUGUUCGCAAGAUCGCCUCUUCGCCGAUUGUUUCUGUUUCUGUUAAUUUGCACGGAAUUGUUAGAGCCAAAACUACUUAUGUAAAGAAGAUGAAUUGUCGAGCGACGCGCCAAGCAGAUUGCUCCGAUCCGAUUCUAAUGCAAAUGUAAAUAAGUCAAUAAGCAACUAAGCAUCCCACAGUCAGACAGAGGAGGACGACAAAGGAGUACACUUCGAAGGGCGAUGUUUAAUGGACGGAUAAAUUAUAUAACAGAUAUUAAUAAUCCCCUCUAUAUAAAUAUAUAUAUAUAUGAAUCAAACACGAGUAAUCAAAAGUUCAAUUGUAACCCCCGAAAGUAUUGCACAUAUUUAUGUAUUCUAAAUUGUUUCCAAAAUGAAGUGAAUCCUGUUUGGUUUUCGAUUAAUUGUUGACCCGCUUUUAAAUGUAAAUGAAUGCGAGUAGUCCAGCAGUAAUUAACUUUUAUAUACGUAGUACCCUCAUUCUAAACCAUUGACAUCAAUUAUUGCCGAUCAGCUCUGGGCCAGGCCCCAAUAUCUUGGGACUUGCCUGGCUCAUCUGUAGUAUACAUAUGCAUAUUUGAAAUUCAAUUAAUGAUAAUUACAUUUUACGGUCUUGCGUGUGUAUUUAUUGUUCGUACAAGUCAAAAGCAAAAAUACUAAGUAACUUAAAUUUAAACCUAACAAUUGUUUCCAAAUUUCAAUUGUAUUCUGGUGUAACACGAAGAAACCGAAAUAAAUUUACUAUACAAACUCA